AACGUAGGUGACGAGCGUUAUCCGGAUUUACUGGGCGUAAAGCGUGUGCAGGCGGACGAGUAAGUGGUGUAUGAAAGCGCCGGGCUCAACCUGGCGAGGUUAUGCCAGACUGCUGGUCUGGAGGCAGCAAGAGGGACAUGGAAUUCCGGGUGUAGUGGUGAAAUGCGUAGAGAUCCGGAGGAACUCCAGAGGCGAAGGCGGUGUCCUGGUGCUGACCUGACGCUCAGACACGAAAGCAUGGGGAGCGAAC
rnacentral:rRNA from 1 species